AUACUGAUUGAUAUAAAGAGGGACCACCUGAGGGCUACACAGGACGCAUUCAGACAAACAACAACAUCAAGACUCGUGUCAUCCAACAAGAUGAAGACUGUCAUUCUUGCUCUUUUGGUCCUUUUGGUUGUUUGUGAGGAGGGUCGCCCGGAUGUAGAGGCGUUCUGCACAUGUGCAGGGACAACCGUCACAAUCUUCCAUCAUCAAAAACACAUGAAGAAAUGUAUAUGAUGCCGCUUUCAAGUUAAAGGUGACCGAUUUGGCUGUCAAGCGAAGGAAACAUGGCUGCUUCACAUAGUCCUAGCAUCAAUGAAUGUAUGGUGAGAUGUUGGAGACAGCCACAUGAAAAGCAAACGCAAAGCAAAAAGACAAUAAAAGCUUUCAGAGGUAAAAAAAAGCCCACAGCCUGAACUAGAAAACGUGCUUGAAGACUGGGCAACUACACACAGAAAUGGCCGCAUGCAAAGAGCAACUUUUACACAAGUCUGUCGGAGGAUCCUUACAGCGUGGAGCAGUGUAAAAAAACCCCAGUAUCAACGGGUUUCGAAAGGCUGUAUUACUUCUAGAUGAAGAGGAGCAACACCGAAAGAGAAAGCGAGACCGACGACAUAUGUGACGAAGAAAUGAUGACACUGUUCAAUUCUGACACGGAAGAGGAGGACUUUCGUGGUUUUAGUUCCCAAGAGGAUGAAGGUGAAUGACUUUUCUAAAUAUCCCAUUUCAUGACGUGGACACCUGCGACAUGUACUCCGGUGCGGGUUAUACACCGGAAAUUAUGGUGCAUUUCUAUUUAAAAUUUUAUUAGACUUUUAUAAGAGGGGUCGUUUGGGGACCUAAGGGUUAAAAAGUGGGGCCUCAAGAGUUAUUAGUGAAGAACUUGUCUUU